rnacentral:hammerhead_ribozyme from 1 species
AUCCAGCUGACGAGUAGCAAAUAGGACGAAACGCGCAUCCUGGAU